UACGGUCUUAUCACGUUGAAACAUCAAUUCUCGCACGAUCACCGAAGUUAAGCAACGUUGAACCUAGUCAGUACCUUGUUGAGUGAUCGCUUGAGAAUACCAGAUGCUGUAAG